AUUGAACGCUGGCUGCAGGCUUAACACAUGCAAGUCGAACGAGUGUCGGACGGGUUAGUAAUGCUUGGGAAUCUCGCCUAUGGAGGGGGAUAACUACGGGAAACUGUCGCUAAUACCGCGUUCCAUAGGCUGAGCCCAAGUGGGCUUAGUUAGUUGGUGAGGUAAAGGCUCACCAAGCCGACGAUCACUAGCUGGUCUGAGAGGAUGACGAGGGACUCUGAGACUGAGACACGGUCCAGAGUCCGACGAGGGGCAGCCGUGGGAAGUAUUGCAGAAUGGGCGCAAGCCUGAUGCAGCCAUGCCAAGUGUGUGAAGAUGGCCUUCGGGUUGUAAAGCACUUUCAGCGAGGAGGCGUUACUCGCAGAAGAAGCGCCGGCUAAAUCCGUACCAGCAGCCGCGGUAAUUC
rnacentral:rRNA from 1 species